AUGUGUGUGAGAGAGCCCUCCCGAGCGGAUCGGUUUCCGAGCCCCCCACUCCACUUUACCCCCACCCUUUGCCUGAGAACGAUCAUCAUCAUCAUCACGCGUUGCUCUCCAUACAAGGCACUCACUCCUCACUGGGGCUGGGCAACGAACGGCCACCGCCUAGCGAGCACACAACACCAGCCAGACAGACUCAAACUCACUGGCAGACAAAAACUGCAUCCCUUUUUUUAAAUAUACAUUAUAUCACAUAUGUAUGAUAUUGAUGAUAUUGCUAUCGGGACAAAGGAAACUGUGUUCUAAAAUUGUGACUGCAUGGCUUAUAUAAAAUAGCAGUUAUUUUUUUAAAGGUACCAGAUCAUUUUAACAGUCUGACCCCUGCCCCUUUGCUUGCUAAACUGAAGAAUUGGGCUGGGGAUAUAUAACCACUCUUAUAUUUGCAUCUAUCUAUCUAUCAUUAAUACAUUUUAUACAACGGGUGGGUCUAAUGCUGAUUGGUUAAAACCGCAUUCCAGCUGGUGUCUAUUCCACAAGUUACCAUCGGCUAAAUCUACAGUGCCUUGCGAAAGUAUUCGGCCCCCUUGAACUUUGCGACCUUUUGCCAUAUUUCAGGCUUCAAACAUAAAGAUAUAAAACUGUAUUUUUUUGUGAAGAAUCAACAACAAGUGGGACACAAUCAUGAAGUGGAACGACAUUUAUUGGAUAUUUCAAACUUUUUUAACAAAUCAAAAACUGAAAAAUUGGGCGUGCAAAAUUAUUCAGCCCCUUUACUUUCAGUGCAGCAAACUCUCUCCAGAAGUUCAGUGAGGAUCUCUGAAUGAUCCAAUGUUGACCUAAAUGACUAAUGAUGAUAAAUACAAUCCACCUGUGUGUAAUCAAGUCUCCGUAUAAAUGCACCUGCACUGUGAUAGUCUCAGAGGUCCGUUAAAAGCGCAGAGAGCAUCAUGAAAAACAAGGAACACGCCCGGCAGGUCCGAGAUACUGUUGUGAAGAAGUUUAAAGCCGGAUUUGGAUACAAAAAGAUUUCCCUAGCUUUAAACAUCCCAAGGAGCACUGUGCAAGCGAUAAUAUUGAAAUGGAAGGAGUAUCAGACCACUGCAAAUCUACCAAGACCUGGCCGUCCCUCUAAACUUUCAGCUCAUACAAGGAGAAGACUGAUCAGAGAUGCAGCCA
rnacentral:lncRNA from 13 species